rnacentral:lncRNA from 1 species
CCGCAGAGUACAUCUAAAGCAAUUCUAUUCAAUUUACAAGGCAUCAUAGAACAGAAUGACUAUAUGUUUUUUUGGUGUGUUUUCAAUCUUCCUCUUCCUGGGUGCCGAACAAUGAGGUAUAUAAUAAAGUGUUCUAUGCAAAGGCAAUUAAAAGAUAGUUUGCAUGUUUUUAUGACUCAAGCCACGCUUAAGCGGCAAAAUUUUUGAUGGGUUAAGUAUGAAGGACUUGCUGCCAAUGGGGCCUAGUUUUGUGAAAAAUAGCAUUGAUUUGCAGAUGUGUGGUCUCAGGUU